rnacentral:rRNA from 1 species
CAACGCCGCGUGAGGGAUGAAGGCCUUCGGGUUGUAAACCUCUUUUCUCAGGGACGAUAAUGACGGUACCUGAGGAAUAAGCCACGGCUAACUACGUGC